AUCGCAAGACCUCGCGCGAUUGGAGCGGCCGAUAUCAGAUUAGGUAGUUGGUGAGUAAAGGCUCACCAAGCCGACGAUCUGUAGCUGGUCUGAGAGGACGACCCAGCCACGCUGGGACUGAGACACGGCCCAGACUCCUACGGGAGGCAGCAGUGGGGAAUAUUGGACAAUGGGGCGAAAGCCUGAUCCAGCAAUGCCGCGUGAGUGAUGAAGGCCUUAGGGUUGUAAAGCUCUUUUACCCGAGAUGAUAAUGACAGUAUCGGGAGAAUAAGCUCCGGCUAACUCCGUG
rnacentral:rRNA from 1 species